rnacentral:rRNA from 2 species
GGGUUGUGAGGUUAAGCGACUAAGCGUACACGGUGGAUGCCCUGGCAGUCAGAGGCGAUGAAGGACGUGCUAAUCUGCGAUAAGCGCCGGUAAGGUGAUAUGAACCGUUAUAACCGGCGAUUUCCGAAUGGGGAAACCCAGUGUGACUCGUCACACUAUCAUUAACUGAAUCCAUAGGUUAAUGAGGCGAACCGGGGGAACUGAAACAUCUAAGUACCCCGAGGAAAAGAAAUCAACCGAGAUUCCCCCAGUAGCGGCGAGCGAACGGGGAGGAGCCCAGAGCCUGAAUCAGCAUGUGUGUUAGUGGAAGCGUCUGGAAAGGCGCGCGAUACAGGGUGACAGCCCCGUACACAAAAGCGCAUGUGCUGUGAGCUCGAUGAGUAGGGCGGGACACGUGGUAUCCUGUCUGAAUAUGGGGGGACCAUCCUCCAAGGCUAAAUACUCCUGACUGACCGAUAGUGAACCAGUACCGUGAGGGAAAGGCGAAAAGAACCCCGGCGAGGGGAGUGAAAAAGAACCUGAAACCGUGUACGUACAAGCAGUGGGAGCACC